GUCCACGCCGUAAACGAUGAGAACUAGGUGUUGCGGGUAUUGACCCCUGCAGUGCCGUAGCUAACGCAUUAAGUUCUCCGCCUGGGAAGUACGGUCGCAAGACUAAAACUCAAAGGAAUUGACGGGGCCCGCACAAGCGGUGGAGCAUGUGGUUUAAUUCGACGCAACGCGCAGAACCUUACCUGGGCUUGACAUCUACGGAACCUUCGUGAAAGCGAGGGGUGCCUUUCGGGGAGCCGUAAGACAGGUGCUGCAUGGCUGUCGU
rnacentral:rRNA from 1 species